UCUUGGGCCACUCCCAUGACAUAUGGAGGUUCCCAGGCUACGGGUCGAAUUGGAGAUGUAGCCGCCAGCCUACGCCACAGCCAUAGCAACUUGGGAUCCGAGCUGCGUCUGCAACCUACACCACAGCUCAUGGCAAUGCCAGACCCUUAACCCACUGAGCAAGGCCAGGGAUCGAACCUGCAACCUCACAGUUCCUAGUCGGAUUCGUUAACCACUGCGCCACUACGGGAACUCCUUAAUCUUCUCUUCUUACAAAGACAUCUGUCAUAUUGGACUAGGACCCACCCAUAUAUCUGACCUUAUUUUAUCAUUCUUAGCUGUUCAAAGACACUAUCUCUGGAGUGAAGUUAAGGAUCUGGCACUGUCACUGCAGCAGCUCAGGGAUGCUGCUAUGGCAUGGAUUUGUUCCUGGUCCACAAACUUCCACAUGCCAUGGGUGUGGUCAAAAAAUAAUAAUAAAGACCCUGUCUCCAAAUACAGCUAUAUUCUGAGGCACUGUGCAUUAGGACUUCAAAAUGUGAAUUGAGAGGGGACACUAUUCAGCCCAUAACAAUUAUAUUUCAUUCUAAGGGAAUAUUAUCAACCAAGUGAGGAAUGCUAAAUGUCUUAAAAUCUCUGCUUCCUCACUUCUCUACAAGCUGCUUGUCAUUUUAUGGGGUUAUUAAUAUCUCCACCAGCCAUCUAGUUGAUGCUAGGAGGAUGUAACUCAAAAUCAUUUUAUUAUUUACUCAGAUACGUUUUCUUCCUCAUUUAUAAGUAUUGUAAAGUUAAUACAAGUGAGAAAAAAAUUUGUCUGGUAUUUCACCAACCGUAAUGAAGUAUACUCUAACAUUUAUAAUUGCUAGUUCAGUUAAGUACUAUGUAAGAAUUCACAGGUGAUAUUGUUAUAAAAUAAUGAACCAGAUGGAAACGUUUGCCUCAUUACUUCUUGGUUAUUUCCCAUAAAGUUAAUACUUCACUACCUGAAUGGUUUGGAAGAGAACAACUCUUCCUUUGCUGAAUCAGGGAAUCUGAUUAUCACACAUCAUUAAUCUAAUGACAAAGAGCCUUUUUUAAAAAAAUGAGUAGGUCAAACAGUCUUAGUGAGAUCAACUUUUAAUGCUGUACCCAUUAUUUUCACGACACGUAUAUUUUUAAAAUGCCUUCAAAUUUACAGAGCAUUUUCCCAUAGUUUUCCAAAAAAUUUUCACAAGUAUAAAUUAAAUGUGUUCUCAUUCUCAUUUACAGACAAGGAAACUGAGGCUCAGAGGUUUUUUUGUGUGACAUGUCCAGGGAUAUAGUUAAUAAAUAGCACAGCUAGGACUAGAACUGUCUGAUUCUAACCCAGAGCUGACCUAUUUUUUAAUAUCCAUACUAAUGUCAAUUUCUAAAUGAUCUCUCCCAAAAUAUGCCUUCAUGAGAAAAGGAUUUCACGGUCAAAUACAUUUGGAGAAAACUGUCUGCUAAAUUCCUCAUUGGUAGAAUCACAGACUUGUUACUUUUAAAGGCUGUGAGGACUACUGAAUUAAUGAAGUCCAUUUAACAUUGUUUAAUCUAAACUUAUUCCCAGGUUUAAUUAAUCAUUGAAAUUUUUCCCCAUGUAAUUGCUACUAACAUCCAGAGUACCUGCAUUAAUAACUGUUCUAAAUGAACAACUUUUUAUCAACUAUGUUAAAAGGCCUAGGUGCUACAAAAGGCCAUAUUUCAGAGGAGAGUUUAGGAAAAUUAGAGCAGGAAAGUGUCCUGAAAAGAACAAAGGAAGUGUUUGCUUUUAUUUUUUAGUUUGUAGCCAAAAGAAUUUGCUACGCUAUAAAUGCCAUAAAAGUAAGAACUACCUCUACACUUUUUAUGAGACAUGUAGUACAAUCCACAAUUAAAAAUAUAUGUUUAACGGAGAAAAAUGACAUGAAUUUCUCAUCAGUACUAAUCAGCCAUAAACAAUUUUUUAUCAGAAAACAGAAAAAAACUAAGCUUAUUUUUCUAUUUGACAAGCGGCAUGGCACUGAGGUGGUAUUCUGAUGUAAAAAGAUCGUUUGGAAAAAAAAAAGCUUUUUAAGGGUCUUUAAGGGACUUCUCAGCAUCAUCACUUAAUGACUUGAUCAAUGCCCCAUGCAGAAUUUUCUUAAAGGGUCACAUUAAUGCAAAUGAUGUACCAGAGGGUCUUCAAAUGUAUUAGAAAAUAUUAAUCUUGCAAUUGAAGAGAAGAAAAACUGUUUCCUAAUGGUACUUUUUUUUCCUUAAUAAUCAAUUUUCAUUCCUUUCCCCCCUUUUCUAGUCAUUCUCAUUCACUUACUUUAACCAACGUGAAUUCCUUAUUUCAGAACUCUUACAGUAAAAGAAUUUCAAAAGUCAGGCAGAGUGGGUGGAAAUUGAUAGCGUGAUAUAUAAAUUCUUCAGAUGAGUAUUAAUUUAGCAGAUUCUGCUCCUCUCUCCCUCUACCAAAGUGGAACAGAAAGCUGAAAUCUAAAGCGUUUAAUUAUACCACAUUUCAGUCAGUUCACUAGAUUAUAUUCUUAGCUCCAUGAAUUGCCCAUGAGUGAGAACUCUGCUUGUGAUAAAAGGUCAAAAACAAUUUUGAACAAUACAAUUUUUCUCCAAAUAUUUAGUUCUUGCCUGCAUAAUUAUCUACAUGUACACAUGUGUAUACACACACACACACCACAUACAUGGAGUUUAGCAACUUCUCUUUCAAAAAAUAACAUUGUCAUUGGUAAGAGAAUUUGAAAAGCCAGCAGCCAUUGAGAAAAUCUGAAAACAGCUUGGGGACUACCAAAUUAUAGCACACUUGGAUUUAAUCCUAGAGCUUGCUCCCUGUUACCCUUAUCCACAAAUACUAGGAAUUUCAUCUUGCUCUAACUGCAAUGCCAGAUCCAAGACAUGUCUGUGACCUCCACCACAGCUCAUGGCAACACCAAGUCCUUAACCCACUGAGUGAGGCUAAGGACCGAACCCAUAUCCUCAUGGAUACUAGUCGGGUUUGUAACCUGCUGAGCCACAACAGGAACUCUUUACACGCAAGGAAAUAUUUAACGGCUCAUCUGCAGUUUUAGGAGAGUGAAGCAGGAAUGAAAAAUUGGGUCGGUUUCAAUUCAAAUAGAUGUUGUCGUACAUGAGUCUCUUUAAACUAAAAACAGAAAAGCUAGGAAUCUGUUCUGUGCAGUUUUGGCAAUCGACGUU
rnacentral:lncRNA from 1 species